rnacentral:rRNA from 1 species
AGUGAACGCUGGCGGUAGGCCUAACACAUGCAAGUCGAACGGCAGCACAGUAAGAGCUUGCUCUUACGGGUGGCGAGUGGCGGACGGGUGAGGAAUACAUCGGAAUCUACUUUUUCGUGGGGGAUAACGUAGGGAAACUUACGCUAAUACCGCAUACGACCUACGGGUGAAAGCAGGGGAUCUUCGGACCUUGCGCGAUUGAAUGAGCCGAUGUCGGAUUAGCUAGUUGGCGGGGUAAAGGCCCACCAAGGCGACGAUCCGUAGCUGGUCCGAGAGGAUGAUCAGCCACACUGGAACUGAGACACGGUCCAGACUCCUACGGGAGGCAGCAGUGGGGAAUAUUGGACAAUGGGCGCAAGCCUGAUCCAGCCAUACCGCGUGGGUGAAGAAGGCCUUCGGGUUGUAAAGCCCUUUUGUUGGGAAAGAAAAGCAGCAGGUUAAUACCCCGCUGUUCUGACGGUACCAAAAGAAUAAGCACCGGCUAACUUCGUG